rnacentral:rRNA from 1 species
AAAACUUUCAGCAACGGAUCUCUUGGCUCUCGCAUCGAUGAAGAACGCAGCAAACCGCGAUAUGUAGUGGACCUGCCCGUGAAACAUCAAUCUUUGAACGCACAUUGC